UACGAGUACCCCAAGCGUUAUCCGGAAUCAUUGGGCGUAAAGGGUGUGUAGGUGGUCUUAUUAGUCUUUUUGUUAAAAAUCUUCGGCUCAACCGGAGACCUGCGAAGGAAACGGUAAGACUAGAGUGUGCAAGGGGUGAAUGGAACUCAUGGAGUAGGGGGUGAAAUCCGUUGAUAUCAUGGGGAACACCAAAAGCGAAGGCAAUUCACUGGUGCAUUACUGACACUGAAACACGAAAGCGUGGGUAGCGAACUGG
rnacentral:rRNA from 1 species